rnacentral:rRNA from 1 species
UACGUAGGGUGCAAGCGUUGUCCGGAAUUAUUGGGCGUAAAGAGCUCGUAGGCGGUUUGGCGCGUCUGCUGUGAAAACGCGAGGCUCAACCUCGCGCCUGCAGUGGGUACGGGCAGACUAGAGUGCGGUAGGGGAGAUUGGAAUUCCUGGUGUAGCGGUGGAAUGCGCAGAUAUCAGGAGGAACACCGAUGGCGAAGGCAGAUCUCUGGGCCGUUACUGACGCUGAGGAGCGAAAGCGUGGGGAGCAAACAGG